rnacentral:rRNA from 1 species
UCCGUAGGCAGCGAGCGUUGUUCGGAGUUACUGGGCGUAAAGGGCGCGUAGGCGGUCAGCACAAGUCAGUUGUGAAAUCUCCGGGCUUAACUCGGAAAGGUCAACUGAUACUGUGCGACUAGAGUGCGGAAGGGGCAACUGGAAUUCUCGGUGUAGCGGUGAAAUGCGUAGAUAUCGAGAGGAACACCUGCGGCGAAGGCGGGUUGCUGGGCCGACACUGACGCUGAUGCGCGAAAGCCAGGGGAGCGAACGGG